ACAGUGCGCGCGAGGCACCAUAGGAUCUUAUCGCACUUGGACUUUCUAUGGAACAUGAUCAGGCUCUACUUCAAAGGUCACUCUUGUUGCACAGUGGGCAAUUUGAGAGUGCGCACUAGAAACAUGGACGAAGAGGAGAGACAAAGCACAAGUGUGGACCACAUGUCUGGCCACAUACGGCUGACCACUUAUGGCUGUUUGAAUGCAAUAAACUUUUAGUCGUGAGUCA